UUCCGGUUGAUCCCGCCGGACCUGACUGCUAUCGGAUUGAUACUAAGCCAUGCGAGUCUUUGUAGUAAUACAAGGCAGACGGCUCAGUAACACGUAGUCAACCUACCCUAUGGACAAGAAUAAUCUCGGGAAACUGAGCAUAAUACUCGAUAGAUCAUAAUGCCUGGAAUGGUUUAUGGUUGAAAUGAUUCGUCGCCAUAGGAUGGGACUGCGGCCUAUCAGCUUGUUGGUGAGGUAAUGGCCCACCAAGGCGAUUACAGGUACGGGCUCUGAGAGGAGAAGCCCGGAGAUGGGUACUGAGACAAGGACCCAGGCCCUAUGGGGCGCAGCAGGCGAGAAAACUUUGCAAUGUGCGAAAGCACGACAAGGUUAAUCCGAGUGAUUUCUGCUAAAGAAAUCUUUUGCAAGUCAUAAAACCACUAGUGAAUAAGGGGUGGGCAAGUUCUGGUGUCAGCCGCCGCGGUAAAACCAGCACCUCAAGUGGUCAGGAGGAUUAUUGGGCCUAAAGCAUCCGUAGCCGGCUCUGUAAGUUUUCGGUUAAAUCCAUGUGCUCAACGCAUGGGCUGCCGAAAAUACUGCAUAGCUAGGGAGUGGGAGAGGUAGACGGUACUCGGUAGGAAGGGGUAAAAUCCUUUGAUCUAUCGAUGACCACCUGUGGCGAAGGCGGUCUACCAGAACACGUUCGACGGUGAGGGAUGAAAGCUGGGGGAGCAAACCGGAUUAGAUACCCGGGUAGUCCCAGCUGUAAACGAUGCAGACUCGAUGAUGCAUUGGCAUAUAGCCAGUGCAGUGUCGCAGGGAAGCCGUUAAGUCUGCCGCCUGGGAAGUACGUACGCAAGUAUGAAACUUAAAGGAAUUGGCGGGGGAGCACCACAAGGGGUGAAGCCUGCGGUUCAAUUGGAGUCAACGCCGG
rnacentral:rRNA from 1 species